CGUGGGUAGGAGGAAUGCCUCCCUGAGGAGAACAGAAAACAUAAUCUCCAUAUGCAUCCCUCAUUAGAGAAGAACUGACCAUGGAUCAAGGAAGUUCAGAUGAGAAUCUUCAGAGGGAAUCCUUAAAGAAAUGACCUCCCCAUCUGAUGAGAGGUCUGACUUCCAUGGCAGAUGUGGUCUGGGGCAUGCACGGGAGAGCCUGUGAGAAGGAAUUGUGUAUCCUGCGUGGAAUAUGGCCACAUGGCACAAGCCCCUCCUGAUGAGGAGGGCAGAAACAAGAUGGAGGCUGGAACAAGAGCUGCAGUACAGGUGUGAGGACCUGAAGUGGGCAAGGCCUGAGGUCCUAAUGAGCCCUGAAGAGAAGAAAAGGGAUAAGAACACCCACUUGGCAUUUGUCUUAGGGAGGUAAGAAGUCCUUGGCUGUGGAUGGAAGCAAAUCCCAGAGUAAGAGCAAGCAGAACAAUAUAGACUGGAAUAAAUUGCUGCAAGAGUGCAAAAAAAUGACUGUGUUGAAAGAGAAAGGUGCCUUGCAAUCUGAGCAGAAGCAGAAAACUGGAUAGUUCCCGGAUCUGCUGGGUGAAAGUCAUUACCAAACCCACUGUACCAACAUGCCACUCGGCAAACUAGCUGAAAAGGAAAGGUCAAAGUUUCCAGAGUAAUCAUGAGUUAAUGAGGCAAAGAAAUUGCACAUAUUUACUAAGAAAGUGUAAUACUUUGAUACUAUUCAAUGUUAUUCCCUAUUAAGCAGAUUCUAAAAAGUGCACUUGGCUGAAAUGAAAUCAAGUAUUCAUAGAAAAGUUAUAAAAAAAACUUAUAAUGUUCUAAAAGUUAAUAUAAUCAGAAUGAGAACGUUAACUUUCCUAAAUAAAAACGGUAAGUGACCAAGUUAAAUACUCUGAUGCAAAAAAUGUUUAUGAAGAUAGUGGAAUACUGUUUUUUUUAUUAUCAUGACGUACUGUAUAUGGCUAGUAUUUUGUUUCUUAACUUAACUUUGAUAAUGAUGUUCACUGAUGUUAUGUACCUGUUAUUUUUGUCAACUACCUAAAUUUCUCUUUACUUGGAAAUUCCCAUAUUAAGAGGAUUUGAAACAUGGUAGGGAGAUAAAAUUAAAUAAAUAUUUCACUAACAUG